UCCCUUCUGGCUCAGCUGGUAAAGAAUCCACCUGCAAUGUGGGAGACCUGGGUUCGAUCCCUGGAUUGGAA
rnacentral:tRNA from 1 species